UCUCCGUAGGUGAACCUGCGGAGGGAUCAUUACAGAGUUCAUGCCCUAACGAGUAGAUCUCCCACCCUAUGUUAUCAUCACUUUGUUGCUUUGGCGGGCCGUCAGGCCUCGGCUUGGCUACCGGCUCUCGCUGGUAAGCGCCCGCCAGAGAACCCCAAACCCUGAAUAUCAGUGUCGUCUGAGUACUAUAUAAUAGUUAAAACUUUCAACAACGGAUCUCUUGGUUCUG
rnacentral:misc_RNA from 1 species